UGGUUCUGGCAUCGAUGAAGAACGCAGCGAAAUGCGAUAAGUAAUGUGAAUUGCAGAAUUCAGUGAAUCAUCGAAUCUUUGAACGCACAUUGCGCCCCUUGGUAUUCCGAGGGGCACGCCUGUUCGAGCGUCAUUUAAACCAUCAAGCUCGGCUUGGUAUUGGGCGAGGUCGCAGCGACCCGUCCGUAACUCGUUGGCGGUACCGUCCGGCUCCAAGCGUAGCAAAGUCUCACCGCUUUAGAGCUCGUGGCGGUGCCCGCCCCCGAAUCUAGUACCCAAAGUUUGACCUCGGAUCAGGUGGGGAUACCCGCUGA
rnacentral:misc_RNA from 1 species